GCUGACGAGUGGCGAACGGGUGAGUAAUGUAUCGGAACGUACCAUUCAGUGGGGGAUAACGUAGCGAAAGUUACGCUAAUACCGCAUAUUCUGUGAGCAGGAAAGCAGGGGAUCGCAAGACCUUGCGCUGAUUGAGCGGCCGAUAUCAGAUUAGCUAGUUGGUGAGGUAAAGGCUCACCAAGGCGACGAUCUGUAGCGGGUCUGAGAGGAUGAUCCGCCACACUGGAACUGAGACACGGUCCAGACUCCUACGGGAGGCAGCAGUGGGGAAUUUUGGACAAUGGGGGCAACCCUGAUCCAGCCAUGCCGCGUGAGUGAAGAAGGCCUUCGGGUUGUAAAGCUCUUUCGGCCGGGAAAAAAUCGCAUAGGUUAAUACCCUGUGUGGAUGAUGGUACCGGAAUAAGAAGCACCGGCCAACUACGUGCCAGCAGCCGCGGUAAUACGUAGGGUGCGAGCGUUAAUCGGAAUUACUGGGCGUAAAGCGUGCGCAGGCGGUUUUGUAAGACAGGCGUGAAAUCCCCGGGCUCAACCUGGGAACUGCGCUUGUGACUGCAAGGCUAGAGUACGGCAGAGGGGGGUGGAAUUCCACGUGUAGCAGUGAAAUGCGUAGAGAUGUGGAGGAACACCAAUGGCGAAGGCAGCCCCCUGGGUCGAUACUGACGCUCAUGCACGAAAGCGUGGGUAGCAAACAGGAUUAGAUACCCUGGUAGUCCACGCCCUAAACGAUGUCAACUAGGUGUUGGGUGGGUAAAACCAUUUAGUACCGUAGCUAACGCGAGAAGUUGACCGCCUGGGGAGUACGGCCGCAAGGUUAAAACUCAAAAAUUGACGGGGACCCGCACAAGCGGUGGAUGAUGUGGAUUAAUUCGAUGCAACGCGAAAAACCUUACCUACCCUUGACAUGUCCAGGAGCCCGAAGAGAUUUGGGUGUGCUCGAAGGAGAACUGGAACACAGGUGCUGCAUGGCUGUCGUCAGCUCGUGUCGUGAGAUGUUGGGUUAAGUCCCGCAACGAGCGCAACCCUUGUCGUUAAUUGCCAUCAUUCAGUUGGGCACUUUAACGAGACUGCCGGUGACAAACCGGAGGAAGGUGGGGAUGACGUCAAGUCCUCAUGGCCCUUAUGGGUAGGGCUUCACACGUCAUACAAUGGUCGGUACAAAGGGUUGCCAACCCGCGAGGGGGAGCUAAUCCCAUAAAGCCGAUCGUAGUCCGGAUCGUAGGCUGCAACUCGCCCGCGUGAAGUCGGAAUCGCUAGUAAUCGUGGAUCAGCAUGUCACGGUGAAUACGUUCCCGGGUCUUGUACACACCGCCCGUCACACCAUGGGAGCGGGUUCCGCCAGAAGUAGGUAGCCUAACCGCAAGGGGGGCGCUUACCACGGCGGGGUUCGUGACUGGGGUGAAGU
rnacentral:rRNA from 1 species